UACGUAGGUGGCAAGCGUUGUCCGGAUUUACUGGGUGUAAAGGGCGUGUAGCCGGGCUGACAAGUCAGAUGUGAAAUCCGGGGGCUCAACCCCCGAACUGCGGUUGAAACUGUUGGUCUUGAGUAUCGGAGAGGCAGGCGGAAUUCCUAGUGUAGCGGUGAAAUGCGUAGAUAUUAGGAGGAACACCAGUGGCGAAGGCGGCCUGCUGGACGACAACUGACGGUGAGGCGCGAAAGCGUGGGGAGCAAACAGG
rnacentral:rRNA from 1 species